CCUGAACGACAGGGGAGCGCCGGGCUGACACCAGGGCGCUGAGAGUGCGGGACAGCCGCAGACCCUCGAACCUGAUCCGGGUGAUACCGGCGUAGGGAGUCGGGACUUCUCACCU
rnacentral:ncRNA from 2 species